rnacentral:rRNA from 1 species
AGAGUUUGAUCAUGGCUCAGAACGAACGCUGGCGGCAGGCUUAACACAUGCAAGUCGCGGGAGAAGGUUCCUUCGGGAACUGGGCACCGGCGCACGGGUGAGUAACGCGUGGGAACGUACCCUUCGGCGGGGGACAACAGUUGGAAACGACUGCUAAUACCGCAUACGUCCGAGAGGAGAAAGGCUUCGGCCACCGAGGGAUCGGCCCGCGUUGGAUUAGCUAGUUGGUGAGGUAAAGGCUCACCAAGGCUGCGAUCCAUAGCUGGUCUGAGAGGAUGAUCAGCCACACUGGAACUGAGACACGGUCCAGACUCCUACGGGAGGCAGCAGUGGGGAAUAUUGCGCAAUGGAGGAAACUCUGACGCAGCCAUGCCGCGUGUGUGAAGAAGGCCUUCGGGUUGUAAAGCACUUUCGACGGGGAAGAUGAUGACGGUACCCGUAGAAGAAGCUCCGGCUAACUUCGUGCCAGCAGCCGCGGUAAUACGAAGGGAGCAAGCGUUGUUCGGAAUUACUGGGCGUAAAGGGCGUGUAGGCGGACCGAUCAGUCAGGGGUGAAAGCCAUGGGCUCAACCUGUGAACUGCCUUUGAUACUGUCGGUCUAGAGUCCGUGAGAGGAUGGCGGAAUACCCAGUGUANAGGUGAAAUUCGUA